GAUGAACGCUGGCGGCGUGCUUAACACAUGCAAGUCGAACGGAGUUAUGAUGAAGCCUAGCGAUUCAUAACUUAGUGGCGGACGGGUGAGUAACGCGUGGGUAACCUGCCGUAUACAGGGGGAUAACACUUAGAAAUAGGUGCUAAUACCGCAUAAGCGCACAGUACCGCCUGGUACAGUGUGAAAAACUCCGGUGGUAUACGAUGGACCCGCGUCUGAUUAGCUAGUUGGUGAGGUAACGGCCCACCAAGGCGACGAUCAGUAGCCGGCCUGAGAGGGUGAACGGCCACAUUGGGACUGAGACACGGCCCAAACUCCUACGGGAGGCAGCAGUGGGGAAUAUUGCACAAUGGGGGAAACCCUGAUGCAGCGACGCCGCGUGAGUGAAGAAGUAUUUCGGUAUGUAAAGCUCUAUCAGCAGGGAAGAUAAUGACGGUACCUGACUAAGAAGCCCCGGCUAACUACGUGCCAGCAGCCGCGGUAAAAC
rnacentral:rRNA from 1 species